UGGGGAGCGGUUGGGGGAGACCCACAGACUGAUCUGCUGUGCUGCAAAGUGCAAGAUUUCUGAUGGUGCCUGGGAUCGCCUAUAUCAUGCUCCUAAUUCUCAAAGCACCAUUUCAUUAUGUAUUAUAAUGGAACCAUUUCCCUGAGCCCUUACUUUGGGCCAAUCGCCAAGCCAAGACAUCCGGGUCCCUCCGUAGGGCUUGGUGGGGUCUCCUUCAUCAUGGAGGUUCAAUCGGCAGCUCCAUGGUCAUGCAGUUCAGGCUGGACUUGAACUCAAUAUGUAGCCCAGGUUGGCCUUGAACUCUAGGCAACCCUCCUGCCUCAGCCUCCAGAGUGCUAGAACUGAAGGAGUGUGCCAUCCUAUCUGGCUGAGCUCUACCUUUUGAAGAGCACAUUAUCAAGAAUCUGUCAACUUUCUUUAAAACAUCACAGCAUCUGAAUAAAGUGAAAAUGUGUUGAAUACAUGUACCAAUAUUAGACUCUCAAUUCACCAAUUUAUCCGGCUCUUUACUGGGUACUUAACAUCCUCAGGACUUCCCCCUGGGGAGAGGUUGAAAAUCCUCACGAGAAUGGAAACCAUAAAAACCGAGAUGGUCCUGGGGCUUCAUCGUGUGAGUGGUGCAGACCAA